GGGAGACACUCAGGAGGAAGCAGAGGGGAGAGGAAACGCUGCUUUUGGAGCCAACAACUAUGGAUGUGUUGUCCAGAGGAAACCUGUGGAUCAAGCAAGGAUGCCUACAAAAAGACUAAUUUCCCAGUAAUCCAACUUAUUCCAAACACUCCACCCACAAGGCAGCAAGUGAGGGAAAAAAUAGAAUUCUGCUUGAAGAUGCUUUUCAGUCAACUCUCUCUAGCUCAUAAAUCAGCGCUUCUCCAAGAGUGUUAUGAACCCUGCACCCUCCUUGUCAGUGCUGAUUUCUGCACCCAUCUCCCAGUUACCAUCUGGAAUAGAAUCCAAUAGUGAUCCACCAAUGGACAAUUUUUGCUAUGAAGGAGGAAAGAGAGGACAGAUUUGAUUACAACAAAAGCAUCCCAAGAAUGUGUCCUGCAUGAGCUCUUCAGGCUGUGAAAUCUUGAACUUCUACACCCAUCCUUGGCUGGCUUUUUCCAUGUGAGGCCAUAUAGAGUAACUUAUGAGGUAUUACCACCGUCAUUUUCCAGAAGAAGAAAGCUGAGGCUCAGAGUGAUCAAGAAUACCCAGCCAGAACGUGGCAUCUGGGACUUCUGUCUCCACUCUGUUAUCCACCAGCACCCUUGGGCCCUAUUGCUUGGCUAGAUGGGCACUCUGCAUGUAUCAGGCAUUGUCUGUCACCUGAGUCACUACAUGUAUGACAUCAUAUGUCUAUUACCAGUCUCAGAUAUACACUAAGAAAAUAAGAUUUCAUUAAAGUAUUUUCUAAAUUCA
rnacentral:lncRNA from 1 species